rnacentral:rRNA from 1 species
AACGUAGGACGCAAGCGUUAUCCGGAAUUACUGGGCGUAAAGCGCGUGUAGGCGGAUCAUUAAGUCACUGGUGAAAGCACCGGGCUAAACUCGGUGAGGUUCGGUGAGACUGGUGGUCUGGAGUAUGUCAGAGGGGUGCGGAAUUCCGGGUGUAGUGGUGAAAUGCGUAGAGAUCCGGAGGAACACCAGAGGCGAAGGCGGCACC